GCCGCGGUCGCAUAAUCUGGAAUUGCGGUGGAUUGACACUUCACUGCCAGAAAUGGCAUCUGGGUUCAAAUCCCAGCCGCGGCG
rnacentral:tRNA from 1 species